UACGAAGGGGGCUAGCGUUGUUCGGAAUUACUGGGCGUAAAGCGCACGUAGGCGGAUCGAUCAGUCAGGGGUGAAAUCCCAGAGCUCAACUCCAGAACUGCCUUCGAUACUGGCGAUCUUGAGUCCGGAAGAGGUGAGUGGAACUCCUAGUGUAGAGGUGGAAUUCGUAGAUAUUAGGAAGAACACCAGUGGCGAAGGCGGCUCACUGGUCCGGUACUGACGCUGAGGUGCGAAAGCGUGGGGAGCAAACAGG
rnacentral:rRNA from 1 species